GUGUUAAUCAUUAAUUAUAGAUAUCUCACUAAAACAUGUAUUCGGGAAACCAAAUGCUCAACACCAUAAGUUGGUGAUACCAAACACGACCGAGUUAAUGAAUGCAACCGACUUGCAAUGGACGGAUGUCCACUUGUCUGGCUAAUGAAUUUACUUAUUAUUUUGUCCAAUAAAGGUUGAUGAUCCUGACUGUCAUAUUCUCUGUGCUGAGCGGGCGAUCAUGGGUAGCAUAUGGAUAGAGUAGUGGGUAGUAUAGAGAUAUCAACAGCCUCAGCCUCAUUUCGCUAAUCACUCAUCACCUUCAAGGCUUCAAGUAUUAAAUUUUAUGUUGGAGGAAUCAGGAGCUGCAUAGUCUUUAUGCCAUUGAGACAAAGAGUUUAAGCGGGUUUGGGAGAAGCAAGUGAAAAUGUUGCUAGCUUGCUGCGCAAGAUAUUGUAAGUAGACCGACAAAGAGAAUUACAUGAAAUUUUCAAUCAUCUGAAACUGGUGAUUUAUUACCUUAUAUGUUGUCUUAUAUUGCACUUGUGGAGGAAAGUGCCAGAGGGAAAGAAGAAACUCUAUUUUCCCGGGCGUGUGGAAAGGUCAGCAACUGAGUCACCAGUCAUACAUUCCAUCCAUAACUUGGUCUGAUGGAAGUAAGAACCAUAGUUAUUCGGUGAUACAACGGCAUUGUAACAAGACUCAAAUAUAAAGUGAACACGACAGUCAUGCAUUGCUAAUAACUGCCAAAACAUUUACGUUAAUCCAGGAGAUAUCUUCGAUCUCGUCUUCUCUGUCAGAUAUGAAGUAGAAGGUCUAGUUAGAAUAAGGGCAAUGAUCAUUGUCGUAUACUUGAGAGAAGGAUAAUAGGGCUGAAAAGUAUAGCUUUUUUACAGACUAUUUAAUUAAUGCCUUUAGAAUAGCAAAAAAGUAGCUCAUACCAAUAUUCAAUUUUAUUAGACAGCAAACAGAAUGAUAUCCAAAAGUGUAAGUCAAGACUACAUUAUUCGAUAGCUAGAAAAUCAUAUCAAAGGCACAGAUACUUACGAUUUAGUAAAACUUCAUAUACUAACAACUGUUCCAAACCUAUUU
rnacentral:lncRNA from 1 species